GGCGGCGUGCCUAACACAUGCAAGUCGAUCGGGGCCCGCAAGGGUUCAGUGGCGAACGGGUGCGUAACACGUGAAGAACUUGUCCAUCGGCGGGGGAUAGCCGGCCCAACGGCCGGGUAAUACCGCGUACGCCGUCUGGAGCGCAUGCUCCGGCCGGGAAAGCAGCAAUGCACCGAUGGAGAGCUUCGCGGCCUAUCAGCUAGUUGGCGGGGUAAUGGCCCACCAAGGCGACGACGGGUAGCUGGUCUGAGAGGAUGACCAGCCACAUUGGGACUGAGACACGGCCCAGACUCCUACGGGAGGCAGCAGUGGGGAAUAUUGCGCAAUGGGCGAAAGCCUGACGCAGCGACGCCGCGUGUGGGAUGACGGCCUUCGGGUUGUAAACCACUGUCGCGAGGGACGAAACAAAUGACGGUACCUCGAAAGGAAGCACCGGCUAACUCUGUGCCAGCAGCCGCGGUAAUACAGAGGGUGCAAGCGUUGUCCGGAAUUACUGGGCGU
rnacentral:rRNA from 1 species